CCUACGGGGUGCAGCAGUGGGGAAUAUUGCACAAUGGGGGAAACCCUGAUGCAGCGACGCCGCGUGAGUGAAGAAGUAUUUCGGUAUGUAAAGCUCUAUCAGCAGGGAAGAAAAUGACGGUACCUGACUAAGAAGCCCCGGCUAACUACGUGCCAGCAGCCGCGGUAAUACGUAGGGGGCAAGCGUUAUCCGGAUUUACUGGGUGUAAAGGGAGCGUAGCCGGCAGCGCACGCCUGAAGUGAAAUCCCAUGUCUUAACCAUGGAACUGCUUUGGAAAUUGUGCAGCUGGAGUGCAGGAGAGGUAAGCGGAAUUCCUAGUGUAGCGGUGAAAUGCGUAGAUAUUAGGAGGAACACCAGUGGCGAAGGCGGCUUACUGGACUGUAACUGACGUUGAGGCUCGAAAGCGUGGGGAGCAAACAGGAUUAGAUACCCGGGUAGUC
rnacentral:rRNA from 1 species